rnacentral:rRNA from 1 species
GACGAACGCUGGCGGCGUGCCUAAUACAUGCAAGUAGAACGCUGAAGAGAGGAGCUUGCUCUUCUUGGAUGAGUUGCGAACGGGUGAGUAACGCGUAGGUAACCUGCCUUGUAGCGGGGGAUAACUAUUGGAAACGAUGGCUAAUACCGCAUAACAAUGGAUGACACAUGUCAUUUAUUUGAAAGGGGCAAUUGCUCCACUACAAGAUGGACCUGCGUUGUAUUAGCUAGUAGGUGAGGUAACGGCUCACCUAGGCGACGAUACAUAGCCGACCUGAGAGGGUGAUCGGCCACACUGGGACUGAGACACGGCCCAGACUCCUACGGGAGGCAGCAGUAGGGAAUCUUCGGCAAUGGGGGCAACCCUGACCGAGCAACGCCGCGUGAGUGAAGAAGGUUUUCGGAUCGUAAAGCUCUGUUGUAAGUCAAGAACGAGUGUGAGAGUGGAAAGUUCACACUGUGACGGUAGCUUACCAGAAAGGGACGGCUAACUACGUG